rnacentral:rRNA from 1 species
GGGUUUUUAUUUUAUACUUCAAAUCUUGAAUUUAUUUUUUAUGUUUUUGAAUGUUUGAUUUAAAAAAAUAUAAAAAAUACAAUAGAUAUUGACAUGGAUUAAACAAAGAUAUAUAUUAUUCUAUGUUGCAUAAACAAAUUGGCCAAAGUAGAGAUGGAAGAUAAAAAUAUGGU